GCAGUCAGAGGGUGGAGAAGCAUUUUGACAUGGCAGACAGACUCAGCUGAUGAUCUGCGUCAGGGCGUUUGGUGUCAACGUCACAUGGCCUGUGCAGCUCACAGAAUCGUUUCACUAUGGGCUGAGGUAGUAGGUUGUAUAGUUUUAGGGUCACACCCACACUGGGAGAUAACUAUUCAACCUACUGUCUUUCUCAAAGUGACAAUCCCACAUCUGUCUUCACUGCAUGGAAUCUGACUCCUGGUUCUUGGACAACAGAACUUGCUUGUUUGUUCCAGCUGCUCACACAGUGUGAGGUAGUAGAUUGUAUAGUUGUAGGGUAGUGAUUUUGCCCUGUUUGGAAGAUAACUAUACAAUUUAUUGCCUUCCCUGAGGAGUGGCAUCUCUCCUGGUUUAUGAAAUGUGUAUCAUAUAAUCUUAUAAACUAUUUGAAUGCCUGAUUUAUUUCACACAGACUUGCAGAGCCAUCUGUACUGUUCAGUAUAUCCAUAAACUUUUUAUGUUUAAAUGUGUCAAUGUUUAAUAUUUUACAAUUAUGGUUAUAGAUUGUGUUAAAUAUAUGGGAUUUGCAGUCAUAUGAAUGUAUUCCUGAAAGAAAAAUUUCUCAAACAUUCAAUUAAACUCAAUAAAAUUGUAUUUAUACAUCAAAAAUUCAAAGCCUAUUAUACAUUAUCUCAAGGCACUUUACAUGGUAAGAUCUAUGGAAUAUGGAAAGGAGUGUUUACAUUCUUCAACAAGUAAUACCACCAUGAUAACAACGUCCAUUGCUUUUUGCACUGUAGUACAGUUACCAGAUUAAUGUGUAUAGUUUUACUACACUAUUACAACUGCGUUCAAAGCAAUGUUUGUUUUUAGUAUAAGGUUACUGAUGGAGUUGUCAUACGUAUGUGUCAUGAAUAAAGUAAUCAGUUACAA